AUAGGGAAUCGAUCUUACCGAUUUUCGUCGCGAAGCGACGAAAAUCGGGAUCGAAUCCCACUACGGUAACAUACGAGGGUAUCCAAACAACACAUACUAUCCAAAUAAAAAAAUAUGGAGUUCCGGUUUAGACCAUGGGCGUGCGACGACCCCGAUGAAAUUCGGGAUAUCACGGUCUUCGUUAAUGUUAAUAAGCGUCCGUCAGAUCAGUAGGCGAAACGCAAUAUCCGCACAAUAAGAUGUCUGCGACCCGAAAGAAAAUUCAAAAAUAUGGACGGCACUCCAGUACAGCAUGUGCAUGGUUGGCCUGUUGACAUUUUUAGAAACGCAUCUUGGUCUAUUAUACAGAUGAUUGUUGUACUGCUCCAAAGUGCUUGUUGACAGACUGAAACCACUUGCUUGCGGCUCAUAAGGUUCACUUCUUGAGAGCAGGCAGCUACAAAAUGGAAGGUCAACAAAUCCAGUAUACUUGAAAAGCAAGAAAGAAACACCAGAAAAUAUAAAAAGACAGAAGAACAAGGAAACUUAAAAAAACAAAACUUUUAAGGAUAGGAAUUCAGGAUUUAUUUAGAAACUAAAUUUAUUUUGAGAAGGGCAGUGUUUGACAAAGCUCUGUUACUUUAAGAGAUAAUGUAUUAUCACAUUGGUUUUGUUAUUGUCGAGCCCGCUUGCGGAAGCAAAGACAUAGUUGUCCAAAUGUCUAUUCGGUUUAUGUGCGUGCGUGCGUGCGUCCGUCCGGACCAUAAUUUGGACAUGCAUGGAGCAAUCUUGUUUAUAUAUGGUAUGAAUGUUAACCUCAGUGAGACGGAGUGUCAUGCGCAAGCCCCAGGUUCCUAUCUCAAAGGUCAAGAUCACACUUACAGGUCAAAGGUCAAAUUCAAAAAUGACUGUCCGGAGCAUUUCUUCUUGAUGCAUGGAGGGAUUUUGAUGUAACUUGGCACAAUUGUUCACCAUCAUGAGAUGAAGUGUCUUGCGCAAGAACCAGGUCCCUAGGUCUAAGGUCAAGGUCUCUAUUAGAGGUCAAAGGAUACAAGAAUGACAACUUUGUCUGGAGCAUUUCUUCUUCA